CCUAGUACAGACAGAUUGAGGAACAGAGAAUACUAUUUUGGCAGCGAUGCAAUGUAGCCUUGUUGGUGGUGAGCAAGGGCAUCGUUAUUCAUCAUCUCAUGCUAAUCAAUGGAUUGAGAACUGGUGGUCUCACUGUAGAAAAGGAUUUUCUGGAUGGGUUAUCAAUCAUUUUAAACAUCUUGUUCAUGAAAGAAAGCUUGCAUUGGGAAAUCACUUGCAGAUGGAAUGUAUUUGGUUUGUUUAUUCAGAGUUUUUACAGUCAAAACUUAACAAGGUAAAGCAACAAUGGAACACACAUUGCAUACGGCAUUUCAGAGACACCUUGAUUUCGGGUGUACCUGAUGAUCUUUUUUUUCUUCCUGAAAGCACUGGACAUAGGAACUGCACAAUCACUGUUUCUGAUAACAAUGUUUGUGGUAUAUUGAACCAGAGAGAUGUAUACACAGAAUGAGAAUUGGAAAUGGAUGAAAAUGAUAUAGAAUUGAUGGAUUACUUCAGGAGGGAUAGUACAAGCACCAACAGAGAAUGUGGUGGAUUCUCAGUGAGAUUGUAGAAGGAUUAGUUCACGUUCAUUCAUAGGGUAUUAUGAUUCAAGUAAACCUUUUUGGACAUUUUUGGGUUUGCUUGAAAACUGCCACUCAAGGCUUCCACUUGAAAAUAUGAAGAUCAUAAGAAAAAACAAGCAUUAAAGUGACGAAGAAUUUAUAGCUACUGUUUUUUAAUGUCAUAUACUUUGUAUAGAUGUCUAUAUCCGGAGAACGGUAACCAAUGCUUGGCACAGCAGCUUCUUGGACAUCGUUUUAUCUCUCCAAAUCCCAUGUCGUACGGUUUAGCAAAUAACAUCACUUCAGAUAAGCUUGACGCUGAAAAAGAUCAAGGGAGAAAUCAAAAUAGCUGUUAUGAUGGAGAUGAGUAUCCUUAUUUGAUGCCUAUUCCUUUCGGCUACGCUGCGAGAAAUGCAAGAGUUCGAAAUGAAUUUGAGGUGUUGCAAAUGCUUAAAAAAAGGAGGGUUUGCUUCAGUUGUCAAGGUACGUAAUGAAUUGGACGGCUGUCUCUAUGCGAUCAAAAGAAUUGCUUUGAUUCCGAAAAGUGUGCUGUUUAAUCGCAAAAUUACUCGAGGAGAGAAGUUACUUUCUAGAUUGAAUCAUGAAAAUAUUAUAAGGUUCAUAAAACCAUCUUUUAUUGCUACAAACACUUUAUCUGACAUCAUUGAGAAAUGGCAAACUUGUGAUUCAAAUAUGGACAACUUUGUGUAAAGCUUAAGGUACCAAACACUUGUCUUUCAUAUCUGUGCAUGCAAAGCAAAAAAAAGACUUUCUUUGGUGAACGUGUUUGAAUUGCACUUUGUUUUAAUACUGAUGUGUGUUACAUGUUUGACUUAAACAAUUUUAACAACUUACAAGACAUUUUAAGUCCAAUAACUAUGUAUUUUUCCUGUUAAGAUAUACGAUUUGUCUUAUCAGAAUAUGCUAUAAAGAUAUUAAACUGUCCGAGGUGCCUUA